UCUACUGUACCAAACAGUGGAGAGGAAAUAAACAAGUGGUUUGGUCUUGUACAUGGUAUUCAAAGUGGCCGAGCCUAGCUACUACUCGAAUGAGUCGUCUUUCUCAGUCCCCAUUCCUCUCCUCUGAUACUACUCUCCCUCACACCACACAGAUGCACUUCCGGGUCGAUCUAUCUAUUCCGACCAACUCCGGCGCCCUGGUGAAUACCUACAACAUCCUGAUGACCUCAACUACUUGAUCCCCUCAAUUUUUGGCUUCCCACAGUAUGGCGCGCGGCCAUGGCAACUGGCACGCGCGGCUUCACGCAUGGCUCAGCGACCAUGGACGACGCCGACGAUGUUGCGGCCGAGCCUGCCGCGUCAAGGCCGGAGCCACGGCGAGCAUGGUACCAGCCAUAAACUCCUACAGCUAGUCCCUUUCCAGAACUAUAGCAGAGGAAGAUGCUACAUAAAAGAAAGGUAAAAGCACAAGCGGAUGGCCGUGCUAGUACCUGAUGAACCACUAGCAGGGAUAAAUCAAUAAAGACCCAGCACAACAAUGAAUAGAUGAAGAGGCCGGAUGCGGUGGAAAGGGGUGGUCUGAGAGAAAGUGUGGUGGAGUGUGUGCGGUAGAAAGUGAUGAACAGUGAGGAGGACCUGCUAUUUAUAGUAGAGUGAGAAGCUUGGUCGGUUCCUGGCUUACGCCAGGUGGUGUGCAUGCAGCAUACCCAUGUACAUGCAUAGUUACACUUGGAAUUUUUACAGCUGUGGUUUUUACAAGUGUGAGAACAAUGGCUGGAUCUGAGUUGGCAUUUACUUUGCCAUUAAGCAAUUGUGGAAAAGGACUAAAUUGUAAAUUUCGAAUUUCUAUUAGGGGCUGAAAAGUGGAACUGGUGUAUAAGAACUUUGUAGGCAAAUAUUGCUCGGACUUUGGUGAUUGAAUUUUAUUUAAUAUGAGAUUAGCGCGAAA